AUUGAACGCUGGCGGCAUGCCUUACACAUGCAAGUCGAACGGUAACGGGCCUUCGGGUGCCGACGAGUGGCGAACGGGUGAGUAAUGCAUCGGAACGUACCCAUCAGUGGGGGGUAACUCUCCGAAAGGAGGGCUAAUACCGCAUAUUCUGUGCGCAGGAAAGCGGGGGACCGCAAGGCCUAGCGCGUAUGGAGCGGCCGAUGUAAGAUUAGCUAGUUGGUGGGGUAAAGGCCUACCAAGGCGACGAUCUGUAGCGGGUCUGAGAGGAUGAUCCGCCACACUGGGACUGAGACACGGCCCAGACUCCUACGGGAGGCAGCAGUGGGGAAUUUUGGACAAUGGGGGCAACCCUGAUCCAGCCAUGCCGCGUGAGUGAAGAAGGCCUUCGGGUUGUAAAGCUCUUUCGGCCGGGAAGAAAUCGCAUCUCCUAAUACGGGGUGUGGAUGACGGUACCGGAAUAAGAAGCACCGGCUAACUACGUGCCAGCCGCCGCCGUAAAAC
rnacentral:rRNA from 1 species